AGAGUUUGAUCCUGGCUCAGGAUGAACGCUAGCGGCAGGCUUAAUACAUGCAAGUCGAGGGGUAGCAUGAUUGUAGCAAUACAAUUGAUGACGACCGGCAAACGGGUGCGGAACACGUACACAACCUUCCUACAAGUGGGGAAUAGCCCAGAGAAAUUUGGAUUAAUACCCCGUAACAUAGCGAUGUGGCAUCACAUUGCUAUUAUAGCUUCGGCGCUUGUUGAUGGGUGUGCGGCUGAUUAGAUAGUUGGCGGGGUAACGGCCCACCAAGUCUACGAUCAGUAGCUGAUGUGAGAGCAUGAUCAGCCACACGGGCACUGAGACACGGGCCCGACUCCUACGGGAGGCAGCAGUAAGGAAUAUUGGACAAUGGACGCAAGUCUGAUCCAGCCAUGCCGCGUGAAGGAUUAAGGUCCUCUGGAUUGUAAACUUCUUUUAUAAGGGACGAAAAAAGGUCUUUCUAGAUCGUCUGACGGUACCUUAUGAAUAAGCACCGGCUAACUCCGUGCCAGCAGCCGCGGUAAUACGGAGGGUGCAAGCGUUAUCCGGAUUCACUGGGUUUAAAGGGUGCGUANGCGGGCAGGUAAGUCAGUGGUGAAAUCCU
rnacentral:rRNA from 1 species